CUGUGAAUCCAGUCUUGGGACACUGUCAGUCGGGCAGUUUGACUGGGGCGGUCGCCUCCCAAAAAGUAACGGAGGCGCUCAAAGGUUCCCUCAGCACGGUCGGAAAUCGUGCAUAGAGUGCAAAGGCAUAAGGGAGCUUAACUGCGACACCUACAAGUGGAGCAGAAAGGAAACUUGGACUUAGUGAUCCGGUGGCACCGCAUGGAAGGGCCAUCGCUCAACGGAUAAAAGCUACCCCGGGGAUAACAGGCUUAUCUCCCCCAAGAGUCCACAUCGACGGGGAGGUUUGGCACCUCGAUGUCGGCUCGUCUCAUCCUGGGGCUGGAGUAGGUCCCAAGGGUUGGGCUGUUCGCCCAUUAAAGAGGCACGCGAGCUGGGUUCAGAACGUCGUGAGACAGUUCGGUCCCUAUCCGUCGUGGGCGCAGGAAAUUUGAGAAGAGCCAUUCCUAGUACGAGAGGACCGGAAUGGACAGACCGCUGGUGCAUCAGUUGUCUUGCCAAAGGCACAGCUGAGUAGCUAUGUCUGGAAGGGAUAAGUGCUGAAGGCAUCUAAGCACGAAGCCUCCUUCAAGAUGAGAUUUCCCAUCGUAAGAGUAAGACUCCAAGUAGACUACUUGGUUGAUAGGUCCCAGGUGUAAGAGUAGCAAUAUUCUUAGCUAAGGGAUACUAAUAAGUCGAGGGCUUGACCAA
rnacentral:rRNA from 1 species